AUUGAACGCUGGCGGCAGGCCUAACACAUGCAAGUCGAACGGUAGCACAGAGAGCUUGCUCUCGGGUGACGAGUGGCGGACGGGUGAGUAACGUCUGGGAAACUGCCCGAUGGAGGGGGAUAACUACUGGAAACGGUAGCUAAUACCGCAUAACGUCGCAAGACCAAAGUGGGGGACCUUCGGGCCUCACACCAUCGGAUGUGCCCGGAUGGGAUUAGCUAGUAGGUGGGGUAAUGGCUCACCUAGGCGACGAUCCCUAGCUGGUCUGAGAGGAUGACCAGCCACACUGGAAAUGAGACACGGUCCAGAGUCCUACGGGAGGGAGCAGUGGGGAAUAUUGCACAAUGGGCGAAAGCCUGAGGCAGCCAUGCCGAGUGUAUGAAGAAGGCCUUCGGGUUGUAAAGUACUUUCAGCGGGGAGGAAGGCGGUGAGGUUAAUAACCUGGCCGAUUGACGUUACCCGCAGAAGAAGCACCGGCUAACUCCGUGCCAGCCGCCGCGGUAA
rnacentral:rRNA from 1 species